rnacentral:rRNA from 1 species
GAUAAACGCUGGCGGCGCACAUAAGACAUGCAAGUCGAACGGAAGUCGUUUUAGUGAGUUUGAGAUGAAAGAUUUAUCCGGAUUCAAAGAUGAACUAAAACAAUGGCUUUAGUGGCGGACUGGUGAGUAACACGUAAGCAACCUGCCUGUUAGAGGGGAAUAACAGCGAGAAAUCGUUGCUAAUACCGCAUAUGCCAUAAGAACCGCAUGGUUCAAGUGGGAAAGGAGCAAUCCGCUAACAGAUGGGCUUGCGUCUGAUUAGUUAGUUGGUGGGGUAACGGCCUACCAAGACCGCGAUCAGUAGCCGGACUGAGAGGUUCAACGGCCACAUUGGGACUGAGAUACGGCCCAGACUCCUACGGGAGGCAGCAGUCGGGAAUAUUGCGCAAUGGAGGAAACUCUGACGCAGUGACGCCGCGUAUAGGAAGAAGGUUUUCGGAUUGUAAACUAUUAGUCUGCAGGGAAGAAACAGACUGUACCUGC